rnacentral:rRNA from 1 species
GAUGAACGCUGGCGGCGUGCCUAAUACAUGCAAGUCGAGCGAAUGGAUUGAGAGCUUGCUCUUAUGAAGUUAGCGGCGGACGGGUGAGUAACCCGUGGGUAACCUGCCCAUAAGACUGGGGUAACUCCGGGAAACCGGGGCUAAUACCGGAUAACAUUUUGAACCGCAUGGUUCGAAAUUGAAAGGCGGCUUCGGCUGUCACUUAUGGAUGGACCCGCGUCGCAUUAGCUAGUUGGUGAGGUAACGGCUCACCAAGGCAACGAUGCGUAGCCGACCUGAGAGGGUGAUCGGCCACACUGGGACUGAGACACGGCCCAGACUCCUACGGGAGGCAGCAGUAGGGAAUCUUCCGCAAUGGACGAAAGUCUGACGGAGCAACGCCGCGUGAGUGAUGAAGGCUUUCGGGUCGUAAAACUCUGUUGUUAGGGAAGAACAAGUGCUAGUUGAAUAAGCUGGCACCUUGACGGUACCUAACCAGAAAGCCACGGCUAACUACGUGCCAGCCGCCGCCGUAA